rnacentral:rRNA from 1 species
UACGUAGGCGGCCUAGCAGGUGGGGUGUGAAAUCCCUCGGCUCAACCGAGGAACUGCGCUCCAAACCGUUAGGCUUGAGGGAGACAGGGGUGAUGGGAACUGUUGGUGGAGCGGUGAAAUGCGUUGAUAUCAACAGGAACACCGGUGGCGAAAGCGCAUCACUGGGUCUCUUCUGACGCUGAGGUACGAAAGCUAGGGUAGCGAACG